GUCGUGAGAUGUUGGGUUAAGUCCCGCAACGAGCGCAACCCUUGUCAUUAGUUGCUACGAAAGGGCACUCUAAUGAGACUGCCGGUGACAAACCGGAGGAAGGUGGGGAUGACGUCAAGUCCUCAUGGCCCUUAUGGGUAGGGCUUCACACGUCAUACAAUGGUACAUACAGAGGGCCGCCAACCCGCGAGGGGGAGCUAAUCCCAGAAAGUGUAUCGUAGUCCGGAUUGUAGUCUGCAACUCGACUGCAUGAAGUUGGAAUCGCUAGUAAUCGCGGAUCAGCAUGUCGCGGUGAAUACGUUCCCGGGUCUUGUACACACCGCCCGUCACACCAUGGGAGCGGGUUUUACCAGAAGUAGGUAGCUUAACCGCAAGGAGGGCGCUUACCACGGUAGGAUUCGUGACUGGGGUGAAGUCGUAACAAGGUAGCCGUAUCGGAAGGUGCGGCUGGAUCACCUCCUUUCUAGAGUAUGGCGCCACGCCAAACGCUCACACUUAUCGACUGUUGACUAUUAAGGAACAGCAUUGGGGCUGUAGCUCAGCUGGUUAGAGCACCGUGUUGAUAACGCGGGGGUCGUUGGUUCGAGUCCAACCAGCCCUACCAGUCACACCCAGGGGGAUUAGCUCAGCUGGGAGAGCACCUGCUUUGCAAGCAGGGGGUCGUCGGUUCGAUCCCGUCAUCCUCCACCACUGUUCAAACGUAAGCGAAGUCAAAAGACUCGCGUUUAGGUUUGAGUAGUAGCGUUCUUUAACAAUCUGGAAGAAGUAAAGAUUUAUUAUUUUUCGUUUUGAUCGGAAGGUCAAUACGAUGGGUAGUGAUUGUAUAUAUCAACAAACGCAACAACGUGACUUCUUGACUUAUAGCGGUUCUUUGUUAGUCGCAAGGAAUCAAUGUUAUAGGGACAAGUGAAUAAGUGCACAUGGUGGAUGCCUUGGCGAUUACAGGCGAUGAAGGACGUAGUAGUCUGCGAUAAGCUUCGGGGAGCUGACAAACGAGCUUUGAUCCGAAGAUUU
rnacentral:sRNA from 1 species